rnacentral:lncRNA from 1 species
UAACAUGAUUCACAUUAUACUUUCUCUUAGUUAAUAAUACAGUAGGCCUUUUGUUUAUUAAUGGAAGAGUACUCCCCACACCUAAGACCAGAUUCUUAUAUCUCCCUGGUUACAGUGCAAUUUGGAGAUUUUUUUUUUUUCCUGGAUGGUAAGAUUUGAAAUAUUUACAUUAACAUAGGCAAAAAAAAAAAAAAAUACAAGAUGCUGCUUUAUUAUGUCUGUCACCAUGAAAACUUAGCUGCAUCUUUUGAAAUAUCAAAUAUGAAUUUUCUCUAAAAUAUUCUGAAAUAGGUUAAAUCUUAUAUAAAUAUUACUUUGUGCAAUAUUGUUGUGUAGUUAAAUGCAUAUUAGCAAAGUAUAGAGGUCACUGUGUAAACCGAUAGAAAAGUAACCAUCAGCAAAUACUGCAGUGAUUAGUUAGAAUCUGUAUUAUUCCUUAUAUAUAUGUAUAUGUAUGUAUUCUCUGUUACAAAGGAUGAAGACAAAUAGGGAUACAUUUCAAUGUAAACCAUUUAUGAAUUGGAAGUGAUGUUGGCUUUAGUUAUCUUUGUAAAUAAGGUAAUUAGAAUGGUAUGAAAGGUAAUGUGAUUAUUGCAGGGGUGUUUUUAAAUCUUGGGUAUAAAUUCUAGGGUAAAUUCCAGUUUAUCCAGACUAGUUUUUAACGGGACCUGCCUUUGAGGGUGUUUUUUGUUAUUUUGUUGGGGAGGGGUUUAAUCACAAAGUGUGUGGGUUUGGGUUAUUUCUUGUUUUUAUUUUUCUGUCCAGAAGAGCUUUACCAGGCUGUGCAAAGUAAAAUUCUUCUCAGGCAACAUUUGCUUUUAAAAAUAAUCAUGAAGAGAAGGCUGUUAAAGCAAAAAUUUUUUUUUUUUAAUUUUUUCUUGUCUUCCAAGAUCCGAUUUCCCCAUCUCCCACUUGCCAUCCAGCAGAUGCCAUCUGUCAUCCAAGCUGGUCAUUGCUAAUAAACAAGGAGACUGUCUCCUGACAGCCAGCACUGUGUAUUAUCACUCAGGAACCAGCGGAUCUGCAAAGACCUACAAUCAAAAGCAAAUCCCCAUUUUCCUUUUAUAAAACAUUCUACCCUCACCUCCAAUAUAAACACAUUAAAAGAGUACAAUAAAAAUGUUUAAAAUCAUGUACUAAUAAAUUCAUUGUAUGUUAGAAUUGCAAUAGAAUGAAGAGAAACAUUUAGCUAGUAACGUGAUCUGAAAACUGAAUGUCCUAUGUGAGUAUUAGAUUUUAAUAGCAUGCUUUAAAGACUGAUGAGUAUAAAAGCAGAAGUUUUGCGUUUUUUACUGCUUUCAAAGCUGUAUCCUAGUUUAGUGAUACAAAUGAUUGCAAUUUUUCUAAAUCAUUAAAUUAUUUGGUUUGGUGGAGUGAGGCAUGGAGCAAUCUGGCGUCUUCUGAUUUGUUAAAGUAGUGAUGGCAGUGAAGUUGUAACUGAAAUUUAAGCUGAUCUUCCUUUUUGGUAUAUUAUCCGUUGUGCCAGCUCUUGAGAUUACUUGCACAAUGUGGCUAUAAGUUUUAAUAUUUUGUGGAGCAGAGGGAUGGUUUUUAAAUGUGCUUAUGGAAAGGACCCAAUAAAUGAAUAUUCCUAACUUAGUAAAGUAGAAUAAUUUCAUGGUAUUCAUUAAAAAGCAUAAAAGUCUUCCUCUUGCCCCAGAAGUAAUUCUCUAUACCAAGAUAUGCUAGGAGUAGGAUGAUGAUUCAAAGUGGUAACCCAAAUUCAUAAAGCAAUAAUAAUAAAAACCUAUAUAGUAUGUUCUCUCCUCCAAAGUUUUAACUCUAAAAAUUGGUUCCUAGGUUUAAUUGUACCUUUAAUUUGCUUAUUCAGUACUUAGAAUUUGUUUAACUGGUACUUUUAUUAUUUUUUAGUGAAAGACUUUUGAAAAGUGCCCUUUCCCCUUAAGAGACAGUUGGAAUACCAGUUGACUAAUAUUACAAGCUCUUGUAGGGGGAAAAAGGAGCUUAUUAAAGUUGUUUACUAAACUUUAGGAAAAGAUGUCUUGCAUCAGUCUUACUAGGCAUAAAAGUCACACUUAAUGACUGGAAAAAACUUGCUUAUUGCCUUUCCCUAUAUAAAUAUUAAUUGUCUAGAAUGAAAGCUAAUAUAGGAACAAGACUCCCAAAUCCAUGAAAACGCUUAGUGAAUAUAUUCUUAAUCAUUAAUAAAUUAGCCCAUUAUAUUUUCAUCUGUAUUUGCCAUAAAAAAUUUAUUUGCAUUUAUGCCUUUAGGAUAAUUUUGUAUCUUUCUAAUCUGUUUUAUCAUUGCUACAGGUUUUUAAAAAAGAACCUUUCACUAGCUAGCACAUGCCAGAGGUUCACAUCUGUUUUGUUUUUCAAACAGGUCGUAGCUGUAUUUAUUGGCCAUGCAAGUAGAGGAAAUGCACAGUACAAAUGUUUUUCUUUAGCACGUAAGGGACCUAUCCUUGUCUUGAAAGUUUGUUGCUUUAAAAGCAAGUAUCUCUCCAUAAAUAUUAUGGCCUUCCAUUUUCUUCAUACAUUUUUUAGGAUCCACUUGUGCAUGUAGUUGAGACCACUGUCUCUUAAAAUAUAGCACUUUUCAAUUCUCUCUAAAGAAAUACUUAUGUACUACUAUCACAUGUUGUAAAUUUUCAUGUAAUAGUGUUUUCUGUGAGUAAACUCCAUUUUGAUUGGCAGCUAAGACUUUUUUUCCUGUGGCUUUUAUUUAUCUAAGAGGUCUUUGCAUAUAGAUGAAAUGUAUAUUUGCCUGGCGGACUAUUUGCGUUGUGUGGCCUUAGUUUGUUUAUUGACAUUAACGAGUGUUUUAAAAAGGUUUUUAAUGAAUAGUCUUAAAUCUAAAUUUGUGUGAAUAAUCCUUUUAACACAGUGCUUUUUUGUAGCUGUCUAAGUGUGUUAAAUUGUUAAGCUAUUUCUUUGUAAAAUAGGACAAUGGAAUGCAUAGUUUUUUUUUUUCCUGUAAAGUAUUUUUUUAAUAAAAAAAGUCUGAUUUGUCCUUUA